rnacentral:antisense_RNA from 1 species
CUUGAUCGACCCCAGUGGCAGCGGCUCGGCACGGUCCUGGCCGUAGGUGGCCAGCAGGGCCUGCGCCUC